rnacentral:rRNA from 1 species
UACGAAGGGGGCUAGCGUUGCUCGGAAUCACUGGGCGUAAAGGGUGCGUAGGCGGUUCUUUAAGUCAUGGGUUAAAUCCUGGAGCUCAACUCCAGAACUGCCUUUGAUACUGAAGAUCUUGAGUUCGGGAGAGGUGAGUGGAACUGCGAGUGUAGAGGUGAAAUUCGUAGAUAUUCGCAAGAACACCAGUGGCGAAGGCGGCUCACUGGCCCGAUACUGACGCUGAGGCACGAAAGCGUGGGGAGCAAACAGG